ensembl:lncRNA
CAAAUGCUAAAGAGCUUCCAGCCGCAGCUAGAACGUUUCUUUCGCCGGGCACAGUAAACGGCUUUUAAUAAAGCCACGGCGUUUAUGACUUAAAGAUCCUGUAAAAGCUAGGGCGUGCAAGGGCUGCGAGGCAGAAAUAUUCAUACAUAGUGGAUUAGGCAUUCAUUUUUUAGGUAGGAUGGGGACAAGUAUUUUUCGCGUGCCCCUCGAAUUUCAUCAGAUCAAAGGUUGAAUCAUGUUGCGUCGUGACAACAGGGUGUUUACGAGGUGUGUUACAAGUACACUGGCCGGCCACUACCACCGUGUCUUCUGCAAUACACUCACACACACCUUUCCUAGGACAUUUACAGUUGCAGCCCCGAAUUCAUCAACCUGUGAAGAAGUCUUCUCUUUAAAUAAGAAUAGCGAUGAUAAUAUGCCCCAGUCUAUACCCUGUAGGAAACUUUUGGCGCAGAAUUCAAACAUUAAAAAGAAGAAAAAAAUCAGGCUGGCCAGGUUAGGUGUCGAGGAUAAGAAAAGGGACUCGCAUGAGCAUCCCCAGUCUCCACUUCUCAGCUUUCGCCGCCCCCAGACACUCCCUCCACCCCAUUACAGAACAACAUAGACGCGCGCAAACACACCACUCACACUUCCAAUGAUCGGCUAUGGUAUCAAGUGUUCUAAUCGAGAUGUGACAGUUUAGGCUGGGAACAAAAAUAAUCUGUCAACGUGCCCAUCAGAAGCAGGAUGGAAUAAUGCUUCUAUUGGUUGGGUCUUUCGAGGGCAGAAGAGCUCCUUGGCACUGGAACCCUCCUGGUCUGGUGAGGGAGGAAUGAGGAUACACAGGCGCCAUCCAAAACUUCCUAUGUUCAGAUUGAGGAAAGAGGUUGGGCCAGGCCUUUGGAUUCUCAUUACCUAAGGACGGUUCUGACUGUGAGAGCAAAUCACAGAAGGUGCUCCUGCAGGCUGCUGUGUUCCCAGGAUCAUGACACCUUACCUGCUGGCUUAUGCAUGCUUCUUGUGAAGUGUCCAGUAUCUAAGGGAACAGCCGGAAGCAAAGACUCUAAGAUGAAAGAGCCACAUGAGGGAAGGAGCCUCGACCUACACCAGAGGUUCAUAAAGUGACAACACAGAUUUGAUCCUUUCUCUCCAGAAGGUCUCAGUCCAGGGGAACGUGGGUAGCCGAUUAAGCACUGAUCAGGAAUUUUGAAUUUGACCUGCUGUAAUGUCUAAGGAAAGGAGGAAAGUCCACAAGGGUUAGUUUCACUGAACUCGGAGCCACCAUUGCAAUGCACUGAUGGAGAUGUACGACAUGAGGAGAGGAGAAUCUACAGUGGGUGUUUGCUGAUCUGGGGGAAAUUUGCUUCCUGGGAAGAAUUGUCCCAGGAACAGCUUCCCUUUGUUAAAAUAGAAGCAGAGCUAUGUCAUAGAUGGGUUUCUCUUUUGACUCAGCUAUGACAACCAAUCUGAAUGCCUCCGUCCACGCUAUAGUCGACCUGUCUCAUCCAGCACGAUUUCUGGCCUCUCACAUCAGAAUCUCGUGGUUAGAAACAAUUCGGGUGAGAUGCUUGGUCAGACUUUCCAGAAGAGACAGAGAACUCCAAGCUUUGAUGAAACAAUCCUUUAAAGUGAGAAGAAACCCAGGGUUGUAUUUCUCGUUUGUGACUUUAUACUAAGUCAUAAAAGUAGAAGUAAGUGUGUGCUUUGCAAUUUUCCAAUUCAAAAGUCAUCAAUAUUUUAUCCUUCAUUGGCGGCCUCCCUGACUUUCAUCCUGAUUGCUUUAAAGCUAACUAAUCACUAGCAAGAGGUAUUUUUCUUUUUUUUUUUUUUAAACAAGGUCUCUUGUCUUUCCCGUGACUGUGGCCAUGACGUGGGAAGGGCCUUUAAUUAAAUGCAGCACUUAGUGCAACAAUUGUUAGCAUGUAGGAGGCCACAGAAACGGAGACAGCUGGAAUGGAUAGUCCCUAAAUUGUAGGCUUCGUCUGGACUACAAGAUUCAUAAGCGGUCCUAAUAGCAUGAUAAGGUGUUGAUCUCAGCAACAGAGCAAUUAUCUGUCCAGUGACUGACCGCCACUCUCUGCACCCACUAGCCCGUUUCAGCUAAUUGAUUUACACUGUAUAGAAGUAAUACAAUAAAAAAAAAAUGUUGCAGAGGCGUUAUGUUAAUUAAAAACUGUGAUUACAUUUCCCUACGAGGUG